rnacentral:rRNA from 1 species
CGUGUAGGCGGUCCGGUAAGUCCGCUGUGAAAGUCGGGGGCUCAACCCUCGGAUGCCGGUGGAUACUGUCGGGCUCGAGUACGGAAGAGGCGAGUGGAAUUCCUGGUGUAGCGGUGAAAUGCGCAGAUAUCAGGAGGAACACCAAUUGCGAAGGCAGCUCGCUGGGACGUUACUGACGCUGAGACGCGAAAGCGUGGGAGCAAACA